rnacentral:rRNA from 1 species
AUUGAACGCUGGCGGCAGGCCUAACACAUGCAAGUCGAGCGGAGCGGCGGACGGGUGAGUAAUGCCUAGGAAUCUGCCUGGUAGUGGGGGAUAACGUCCGGAAACGGGCGCUAAUAUCGCAUACUAUCAGAUGAGCCUAGGUCGGAUUGGCUAGUUGGUGGGGUAAAGGCCUAACAAGGCGACGAUCCGUAACUGGUCUGGGAGGAGGAUCAGUCACACCGGAACUGAGACAAGGUCCAGACUCGUACGGGAGGCAGCGGUGGGGAAUAUGGGACAAUGGGCGAAAGCCUGAUCCAGCCCUGCCGCGUGUGGGAAGAAGGUAUUCGGAUUGUAAAGCACUUUAAGUUGGGAGGCGUUACCAACAGAAUAAGCACCGGCUAACUUCGUGCCAGCAGCCGCGGUAAUUC